rnacentral:rRNA from 1 species
AACGAACGCUGGCGGCGUGCUUAACACAUGCAAGUCGAACGAUGACCUCGCGCUUGCGGGCGCGCUUAGUGGCGAACGGGUGAGUAAUACGUGAGUAACCUGCCCUUCACCCUGGGAUAAGCCUUGGUAACCGGGACGCAUACUGGAUACUACUUCCUGCCGCAUGGGGGGGGGUGGCGAGGGUUUUACUGGUUUUGGAUGGACUCGCGGCCUAUCAGCCUGUUGGUGGAGUAGUGGCUGACCAAGGCGACGACGGGUAGCCGGCCUGCGUGGGUGAGCGGCCACACUGGGACUGGGACACGGCCCCGGCUCCUACGGGUGGCAGCGGUGGGGGAGAGUGCUAUAUGGGCGGGAGCCUGAUGCAGCGACGCCCCGGGCGGGAGGACGGUCUUCGGGUUGGGAUCCUCUAUCAGCUGGGAAGAAGCCGCUAGUGACGGUACUGGCAGAAGAAGCGCCGGCUAACUACGUG